rnacentral:rRNA from 1 species
UACGUAGGGUGCGAGCGUUGUCCGGAAUUACUGGGCGUAAAGCGCGCGUAGGCGGCCCGUUAAGUCGGAUGUGAAAACCCAGGGCUCAACCCUGGGCCUGCAUCCGAUACUGGCGGGCUCGAGGCAGGUAGGGGGAGAGCGGAAUUCCCGGGUGUAGCGGGUGAAAAUGCGCAGAUAUCGGGGAGGAACACCGGUGGCGAAGGCGGCUCUCUGGGCCUGUCCUGACGCUGAGGCGCGAAAGCUAGGGGGAGCAAACAGGG